rnacentral:rRNA from 1 species
GCAGUGCAUUUAUUGGAGCAAAACCAGGCGGCUUCGGCCGUUUCUGCUGACUCAGAAUAACUAAGCUGACCGAAUGGGCUUGUCCCGUCGGCGUAUCGUUCGAGUGUCUGCCUUAUCAACUUUCGAUGGUAGUGUACGUGACUACCAUGGUUGUGACGGGUAACGGAGGAUAAGGGUUCGACUCCGGAGAAGGGGCCUGAGAAAUGGCCACUACGUCUAAGGAUGGCAGCAGGCGCGCAAAUUACCCACUCUCGGUUCGAGGAGGUAGUGACGAAAAAUAACAAGGCCGUUCUCUACGAGGCCGGCCAUUGGAAUGGGUACAACUCAAACCCUUUAACGAGUAUCAAUGAGAGGGCAAGUCUGGUGCCAGCAGCCGCGGUAAUUCCAGCUCUCAAAAUGCAUAGAACCAUUGCUGCGGUUAAAAAGCUCGUAGUUGGAUUUGUGCCGGUGCCGUGGUCCACCCUAGCGGGCGGUACUGCGCUGCACCGGCUUUGGGCCGGUCUCCGGGCGUCGGCCUUCACUGGUCGGCGUCCGUGGCUGGCUGGUUUACUUUGAGCAAAUCAGAGUGCUCAGCACAGGCGUCUCGCCGGAAUGUUCGUGCAUGGAAUAAUAGAACAGGAUCACGGUCCUCUUUUAUUGGUUUUGUGGACUGAGAUAAUGGUUAACAGAGACGAACGGGGGCAUUCGUAUUGCUGCGUGAGAGGUGAAAUUCUUGGACCGCAGCAGGACGGACUACAGCGAAAGCAUUUGCCAAGCGCGUCUUCAUUAAUCAAGAACGAAAGUCAGAGG